rnacentral:snRNA from 1 species
GGAUGUGAGGGCAAUCUGGCUGCAACACCUGUCAUUACAUUGAUCACCAGGGUUGAUUUGGCUGAUCUGCCUGUCUGGGUAGGUGUCCCCUUCUCCCUCACUGUUCCAUGUGUGUCCCUCUUAAAGCAACAUGGUGGGUCAGAGAAUUAUGUUCCAUGAUAGAGCAGGGCUAUUCUCUGUCGAGGAUACAAGACUAACCUCACUUCCCUACUAGAACUUCCAAACAAACUCUCAAGUUAACUAAAAAUGGGCAUAAGACCAUGAGUUUCAGAUACAGUAUCUAUCACUGAAAAAUAAACUAACAAAAUAGUGUCUGAAAACAAUUUGUUUUCUCAUGUUCCUG